rnacentral:rRNA from 1 species
CCUACGGGAGGCAGCAGUGGGGAAUAUUGCACAAUGGGCGAAAGCCUGAUGCAGCAACGCCGCGUGAAGGAAGAAGGCCUUCGGGUCGUAAACUUCUGUCCUUGGGGAAGAAGAACUGACGGUACCCAAGGAGGAAGCCCCGGCUAACUACGUGCCAGCAGCCGCGGUAAUACGUAGGGGGCAAGCGUUAUCCGGAUUUACUGGGUGUAAUGGGCGUGCAGCCGGGAAGACAAGUCAGAUGUGAAAUCCCGCGGCUCAACCGCGGAACUGCAUUUGAAACUGUUUUUCUUGAGUACCGGAGAGGUCAUCGGAAUUCCUUGUGUAGCGGUGAAAUGCGUAGAUAUAAGGAAGAACACCAGUGGCGAAGGCGGAUGACUGGACGGCAACUGACGGUGAGGCGCGAAAGCGUGGGGAGCAAACAGGAUUAGAUACCCGAGUAGUC